AGACGGAGGGUGCUAGCGCUGUUCGGAAUCACUGGGCGUAAAGGGCGCGUAGGCGGCGUCGCAAGUCGGCUUGUGAAAGCCCGGGGCUCAACCCCGGAGGUGCAGCCGAGACUGCGGUGCUCGAGGCCGGAAGAGGAGGGUGGAAUACCCAGUGUAGAGGUGAAAUUCGUAGAUAUUGGGUGGAACACCGGUGGCGAAAGCGGCUCUCUGGUCCGGUUCUGACGCUGAGUCGCGAAAGCGUGGGGAGCAAACAGGUUUAUAUACCCUGGUAGUCCACGCACUAAACGAUGUGUUCUAGGAGUCGGGGGGCUUGCCCUUCGGUGCCGCAGCUAACGCGUUAAGCCCGCCGCCUGGGGAGUACGGCCGCAAGGUUAAAACUCAAAUGAAUUGGCGGGG
rnacentral:rRNA from 1 species